UUUAAGUUAGUUUUUAUUCACCAAAAUCCAUAAUGUUCCAUGUGUCACAAUAAAACAAAGCAGACUUUGCCAGCGUGAAUCCACUUUUACUGAAGAUGAGGGUCAUUCAUGGACCUAGAGGUUACAAUAGUCAAAGUGUUCUGCACGAGAACAAACACACAGAUGUCUUUGAAAUGUGAUGCAAAAGUGCAGACUGCUGCCUCCUACUGAUGAAAAGGAAAUGAGUGAGAUGCUAUGAGUCACUAAUUGUGAACUAGUCAGUCGACAACUCCAAGAGCCCACUUCAUGCUGGUGACGAGGUCCACCAACGAUGGUCUGGCAUGUGGGGGCCUUAGUUGAAAGACAGGAGAGGUGGAUCAGAGACAGCUAGAGGAGCAGGCAUUUCCCGAGUGCUGUAAAGGGGGACUCAUCCCGCUAGGAGAAUGUCUAUUAGGGAAUUCAGACCAAGUUCUGGGAAGGAAUCCACAAGGAAGUCUCCGGGAGCAAGGAAGAAGGGGAAAGGAGAGGCAGCUGGGAAAAUGCGAGACACACACAUCCACCCCUUCCCCAAAACCCUGGCUUACACACUCGUGAGAGCCUCCCGUGGCUCAGGGAAGUCUUAGGGGGUCUUAGGAAACAUCACACAUUUCACUUUCAUCUGUCCACCAGUUAGCUACACUCGGGCUUCCAGAUCAUGAAUUUUUUUUUCUUUUUAAAGGGAGUCUUGUUCUAUAGCCCAGGCUGGAGUCCAGUGGUGUCAUCUCGGCUCACUGCAACCUCAGCCUCCCAGGUUCAAGCGAUUCUCCCACCUCAUCCUCCCGAGGAGCUGGGACUACAGGCACGCGCCACCAUGCCCAGCUAAUUUUUGUAUUUUUCGUAGAGACAGGGGUUUCACCAUGUUGGCCAGGCUUGUCUUGAACUCCUGACCUCCUGAUCUGCCCGCCUCAGCCUCCCAAAGUACUGGGAUUACAGACAUGAGCCGCCGCGCCUGGCCAACAGGUGUUUCUUAAAAGCAGAAGCAGAGAGAGGGCAGGAGAGAACAAACAGGAGGGGAGGGAUGUCUUCCGGACACUGGGCUCUCUCCUCAGGAGAGAAUGAGGCCUGAGGUGGGCACAGGGCCCUCUGGGUGUGUAACAGGCCCAGGGCAGCCUCGCCAGCCUCCAUUGCUUGUCCAUAAGCAAAGCAUAACAUUAUGUGUAAAAACAAACAUCAUCACAAGAUAGGCCAGGCACCGCCUUGCGACAGCAGCCUUGUGGCUACUGGAUGUGUGUGGUUGACCUCAGUAAGGUAGGCGCCCUUCUCUGCAGGCCUGUCCAGACAGCUCCGCACCAUGCUGCUCAGGAUCAGGCCUGCAGUUCCACGAACUGGCCCCCUUGUGGGUUGCCUUCAGGAGCAUACCUCUGACUCAGUGUCCCAACCUCCUCUGCCCUGCCCUGCCCGGGGCCCUCAUGUGCACACACCCAGGAUCUGCCCAGGGCCCUCUCUGCUCAGCCCACAAAUACUGCUUCGUUCCCCUGGCUGACUGGCUGCACCUCCAGGUAAAGCAAUGCUCUCAGGCCCCAGCCAGGUCAUUCUUUACGGGGUUAUUCUAUGUACUGUGGGAGGUAUAGCAGCACCGCUGGUCUUUACGAUGACCGGUUGUGACAUGUGAGCCUCAGUCCUCGCUAUAUCAGGGAGUAGCUUCCUCCGACUAUCGGAAUCACCCUUGCCUGAUGGCAUCUUCUCAGCCCCGUGCUUAGUAAGUCCCCACAUUCCUUUACAGGUGUUCAUUUAAUUCCCUUUGGGUUGAUUCUCAAUAGUUUCUUUCUCUAAGAGUAACCUGAUUUCUGACCCAUACAAUGACCACUGUGGUCCAGCGGACCAUUUGCCUUUCCCACUUUUCCGUCCCCAACACGCACACGCUCCACCCCCUUGCAUAAAAUAACAGUAAGGAAGAAGCAGAAUGAAAUUCCACCCCUGCAUCAGCUACUGGAGUUGGGGCUGAGUUUUGUCUGAUUAAGAACUGCCGGAUCAGUGGCUCACGCCUGUCAUCCCAGCACUUUGGGAGGUCGAGGCGGGCAGAUCACCUGAGGUCAGGAGUUCGAGACCAGCCUGGCCAACAUGGCGAAACCCCGUCUCUACUAAAAUGCAAAAAUUAGCUGGGCGUGGUGGCACACAUCUGUAAUCCCAGCUACUCGGGAGGCUGAGACUGGAUAAUCGCUUGAACCCGGGAGGCAGAGGUUGCAGUGAGCUGGGAUUGCGCCACUGCACUCCAGCCUGGGAAACAAGAGUGAAACUCUGUCUCAAAAAUAAUAAUAAUAAUAAAAAUAAAUAAAGAAAUAAAAUCAAUCACCGGGUAAAUCCCCAUGGGGAUGCACUGCAGAGGAACCUGGGUGUUGGCGUGGCUCCGAAGAGGACCGAGCUAGGUGUAGCUGGAAGGGUCAACAAGAGGAAGGCAUGAAGGGUCGAUGUCAGCAGAAAUACAACCUGGACAAUCACCCUGGUGGCUGUGGUAUGGAUUGCGUGUCUAUUUUAUUUAUUUUGUUUUGAGACAGAGUCUCACUCUGUCGUCCAGGCUGGAGUGCAAAAGCAUGAUCUUGGCUCAUUGCAACCUCCACCUCCCAGGUUCAAGCGAUUCUCCUGCCUCAGCUGGGAUUGCAAGCCUGUGCCAAGCCCGGCUAAUUUUUGUAUUUUUGGUAGAGACUGGGGUUUCACUACAUUGGCCAGGCUGAUCUCGAACUCCUGACCUCAGGUGAUCCACCCGCACUGGCCUCCCAAAGUGCUGGGAUUACAGGCGUGAGCCACUGUGCCUGGCCAGGUUGUGUGUUUUCUCUGUUGGAGGCCCGCCCGGCAUGCGCAGGACCCUCUUUAAGGCCUUCCACCUCUGCUCCUACAUCUUCCACCGGGUUUGUUACAAAUAGUCCCAGAUCUAUUGUACAUCUUCUCAUACUUUUUGCUAUUGAAACUUCUUACAAAGUUUUCUCACCUGCCAGAGGGCAGAGAAACAAAUUGUCAUGAAUGUUCUAGGACCUAGAACAGAGCUUGAGGCAGGGAAAGUAUUCACAAUGUUGUUGGCUGCAGUCAGGAAUAAUAAAUCAAUGUUGAGUGGAUAAACUAAUGAAUAGUUUUGUUUGGUUUUAUGCCAAAAAAUAGUAAUCUCCUGGGUAGCCGGGUACAGUGGCUCAUACCUGUAAUCUCAAUGCUUUGGGAGGCCGAGGUGGGAGGAUCCCUUGAGCUCAGGAGUUCAAGACCAGACUGGACAACAUGGUGAAACCACAUGGCUGCAAAACAUCCAAAAAUUAACCAGGCAUGGUGGUGCGCAUCUGUUUUCUCAGCUACUCAGCCUACUUGGGGAGGCUGAGGCGGAAGAAUCACCUGAACCUGCACUCCAGCCUGGUUGACAAAACAAGAUCCUGUCUCAAAAAAAAAAAAAAAAAAAAAAAAGAAGUGAUCUCCCAUCACCCUCAAAGAAUUCCAGAUAAGAGCAACAGGUCAGCCCGAUCACACUCCUCCAGGUAUCUUUGAGUCUCAGGGCGGUGGUUGCCAUGCUUGAGGGAGGGACGAGGAAGCUGGUUGUUUUCACCACCAGUAAGACCCUGGGAGGCCUGCCGUGGCUUUGAUUGCAGUUCCGACAGAUCCUUCCUUCCCAGCUGGUGCACACCCAACGCACCCCUGCAGAGAGAGCCAAGGAUCCCCCCACAGGCAUGUUUGUGGAGGAGCGUGCACAGUCCUAACGGGUGGCCUGUGGACUCCUGCAGGUCGGCUCCCAGAAAAUCCCAGUCUUACAACCAUGAAAAGGAAGUAGGAUUCACAUACUGUAAACGGUAGGCAGGCCCUUGGUAAUGCUGGGGCUGCUAAGUUUUGAAAACCUAAGAGUUUUAUUUUCUAAAGCAGAAUACAUUCCAUUAACUUGACAUCCUUUAAAAAGUUAUUAAGGCCGGGCAUGGUGGCUCACGCCUGUAAUCCCAGCACUUUGGGAGGCCGAGGCGGGCGGAUCAUGAGGUCAGGAGAUCGAGACCAUCCUGGCUAACACAGUGAAACCCCGUCUCUACUAAAAAAUACAAAAAAAAUUACCCGGUCAUGGGUGGCAGGCGCCUGUAGUGCCAGCUACUCGGGAGGCUGAGGCAAGAGAAUGGCGGGAACCGGGGAGGCGGAGCUUGCAGUGAGCUGAGAUUGCGCCAUUGCACUCCAGCCUGGGCGACAGAGGGAGACUCUGUCUCAAAAAAAAAAAAAAAAAAAAAAAAAUAGCUGGGCGUGGUGACACGUGCCUGUAGUCCCAGCUACUCAGGAGGUUGAGGCAGAAUUGCUUGAAUCUGGGAGGCAGAGGUUGCAGUGAGCUGAGACCGUGCCAUUGCACUCCAGCCUGGGUGACAGAGCGAGACUCCACCUAAAAAAAAAAAAAAAGAAAAAAAAGGUUAUUCCAUGGAGGUAUUUUAAUUAUGCAAUAAAAGGCAGAAGCGACUUUACUGCUACAACUCCCAGAGCAAUUGUUUGCAUGUAGGUUUUUUUCCAGUCUCCAAGGGGUCUUGAUUUUCGAAGCCACUAUCACCCCAGCAAACACCUGUGAAGCUGAAGGCAUCUCUUUCCGCUGUUCUCUCCCAUGCACUGCCCUUGAUCAGCCUUCAAAAUCCAGGGUCCUUGGGGUCACCGGGCUCUGGAAGGGAGCCCACAGGUUGAUCUCUCCAGUUCCACUUACCUCUCCCCCUCGUAUCGUAGUAUUUGCUGCCUCUCCCUUUCCCACAAAACCUGCAAGUUUCUUAAGACUGGGGGUGGGCUUUUUUUCAUCAUUGUAUCCCAUUCCCACUGCAUGGCAUUCCACGGUAUGUGUCCCAUUAAUCUCAAAUGAAAAGCAUUCUUCUUCUUUCCCCACAGAGGCCAGUUUAGGAAACAGGAGCCCUGGCAUUGUCAUGCCCUUGGGGGAAUUGUGGAUAAGGACUGGGUUAAGGAUGAAAUGACUUUUUUCACUUUUGUGAUCUCUGUAGGCUUCCCAGGGGUGCUGAGCACUAGUGCUGAGUGCAGAGAUGAGCGAUGCCGGAGACCAUCAUCUCCUCCACCUAACUCGGCUUCCCAGGGGUGCUGAGCACUAGUGCUGAGUGCAGAGAUGAGCGAUGCCGGAGACCAUCAUCUCCUCCACCUAACUCGGCUUCCCAGGGGUGCUGAGCACUAGUGGUGAGUGCAGAGAUGAGCGAUGCCGGAGACCAUCAUCUCCUCCACCUAACUCGGCUUCCCAGGGGUGCUGAGCACUAGUGAGAUGUGGUCUCACCAUAUUGGCUUGGCCAGGUUGGCCUUGAACUCCUGGCCUCAAGCAUUCCUCCUGCCUCGGCCUCUCAAAAUGCUAGGAUUUACAGGCAUAAGCCACUGCACCUGCUUUUUUUUUUUUUUUCUCAAGAGACACAGCCUCACUAUGUUGCCUCAAACUCCCGGGCUCAAGUGAUCCUCCCACUUCAGCCUCCCAAGUAGCUGGCAUUUUAAGCAUACACCACUGCUCGGAGCUAAUUACUGUAGCUUUGUAGCAGGUUUUGAAAUCAAGAAACACGAGGCUUUCAAUUGUAUCCUUCUUUUUCAAGAACGACAGUUAUUUGGGUCCAACUACAUAACUUUUGAAAGACUCAGAAACUGGCAGAGCUAAGCCAGACCAACAAGCAAGUUUUCAACAUCAAACUUCCUUUGCUUUUAAUGCUUUUUAGUGAUUUUAAGGAGUGUGAAGGUUAAUUUUAUGUAUUUCUGGGUGUGUCUGUGAGGGCAUAUGCAGAAGAGAUUAGCAUUUGGGUUGGUUGACGGGCUAACGAAACUCCACCCUCAGUAUCGAGGGUGGGCAUCAUCUCACCGGUUGAGGGCCCACACAGAAGAACAAAAAGGGUUGAGAAGCGCCAAUUUGCCUUUUUACCUCAAGCUGUGACUUCCCUUGUGCCCUGGACAUUGAGCUCCUCCUGGUUCUUAGCCCUUUGGCCUCAGAAUGAAUGACUGUACUGGCAUUCCUGGUUUUCCAGCUUGCAGACGGGAGACAUCUCAGCCUCCAUAAUCAUGUGAACCAAUUCUUUAAUAAGUCUCCUCUUUUAUAUCUUUUAUAUAGCUUAUUGGUUCUGUUUCUCUGGGGAACCCCAACUAAUAUAGUGAGGUAUUCAUUCAUUCCCUUAAAAAAUAAUUCGGGUCUUCCCCACUCAAGAUGGAAUGAAACGGACUGAAUUUAACCCAAUUUCUAAAAAAACUAGACAGAACACAUGAAAAAAUCACUGUCAUGACUUUAGACAUCAGACAGCAAGGAACAUUGAUGUCUGAGAGACAGUAAACAAGUGGUACCUUCGGGGCUGAUGCCUAUCUUCAUUAUCUUUUUUUGAGACAGUCUCGCUCUGCCGCCCAGGCUGGAGUGCAGUGGCACAAUCUCGGCUCACUGCAACCUCCGCCUCCUGGGUUCCAGCGAGCAUAUCCAGCUUAUUUGUUGUAUUUUUAGUAGAGACGGGGUUUCACCAUGUUGGCCAGGCUGGUCUCGAACUCCUAUACUCAAGUGAUCUGCCCACCUCGGCCUCUCCCUCAGUGCUGGGAUUACAGGCAUGAGCCAACAUCCGGCUGUAAGUUUAUUAUCUUGAUUGGAGUGGUAAGUAGUUUCAUGGGUGUAUACAUAUGCUAAAAUGUAUCAAAUUGUAAGUUUUAGAUAUGUGUGGCUUGUUGCAUCUCAUUUAUGCCUCAGUAAAGCUGUUAAAAAAUUAGAAAUACUCUAGAUAUUAUGAAGAAAGAGAGAAGCCUGCAGCACCAACCAGGCAGAAAUAUAAUAGCUACAAGUGGUCCUAACUGGGGAGGAAGGGAAGUUUACCUUUGUAUCCUUUACCAUGUAUCCUUUUAUCAAUAAGAGGAAAAUUGAUUAAUAUAUUAGAUUGAAUCAAGACUUUAUUUUUUUUAGACAGUCUCUCUGUGUUGCCCAGGCUCGAUGGAGUGCAGCGGCAGGACCUCGGUUCACUGCAACCUCGACCUCCAGGCUCAGGUGAUUGAUUUCCCACCUCAGCCUCCCUAGUAGCUGGGAUUACAGGUGUGCACCACCAUGCCUGGCUAAUUUUUGUAUUUUUAGUAGAGAUGGGGUUUGCCAUGUUGCCCAGGCUAGUCUCGAACUCCUGGACUCAAGUGAUCCACCUGCCUCAGCCUCCCAAAGCGCUGGGAUUACAGGCAUGAGCCACCAGGCCUGGCCAACUUAACUGAAAGUGACUUCAGGACAUCAAUAUCUAAAAGUCAUCAGCAAAAUAAUGGGAUUUUUGUGAGUUUUCAUCCUGGAAAGGAAGGACACCCACUGAAGG
rnacentral:lncRNA from 1 species